GUGGGUGAGCUGCAGUGGGGGGGGCUGCAGGGCGCGGCCAGGCGGUCCAGGUGGGCCAUGAUGACCACGGCGGUCUGCCGUAGGUCGAUGGCCAGCUCGUUGUCCUGGGGCAGCGUCAGGUAGCGCAGGAAGCACUCGUUGGGGCUCAGCGGCGCCGUCAGGAUCUUGAGGAUAGGAGAUCAGACUCUUUAAUAAGAGCUGCGGACUAUAACUUUACACCCUGACCGCGACACUACCCUGUGUUGGCCGUGUACCUCUGGCUGGUCGUCGGGUAUGGGCUCCUCCUUGUUGUUGUGAAUGCUCUGGAAGCGCUGGAGGAGGGGCAGCAGUGGGGCGCUGGUGCCCUGCGUGGAGCGCUCGUUGUCCAUCUCCCGCGUGCCGUUGCCCCACAGACGCAGCAGCAGCAGCACCGCCGACAGCAGCUGGCUGGAGGACGGUGGGACCCAGAGGAAGAGAGUACUGUCUAUUGGACCACAGUGACAGCAGGACCGCUGGCCACAUGAGUAUGACUACAACAGCGUGUUCCCCUGUCCUGAUUGGUUCGGAUAAGAGCCAUGAGAUGUCACUCGCCAUGUAUUAGUGUGCCAUCACAAUGUGGGCGUAUCUAUGUAGCAUCGGGCAGCAAGAGGUCACGUCAACACGCGAGAUUGGACACUCCACUCCAGUUGUGAAGUCACAAAAGCGGACGAUUUUGAAACGGAUUAUAAUGCCUCACAUCCGAAAAAGGUAAGCAUCCGCUCCUACUUGUGACAUCACAAAGCGAUUGAUUUUUUUUAAAUGUCUUUUACUUUGAAAUUUAUCACCAUCUCAACAUGGCACCUGGUAGUGAAACAGGGGCCCUUUACGCAGCAGGGUAGAACCAAGCCCUACCUCAGGGUCCCCCUCUGCACAGCCAGCUCCAGGAGUAUAGCCAGAGCAAGGUGCUGGUCCUGCAGGGGAAUGUUGCCUUUGGCACUGGCACUUCCAUGGACAUCACUGGUUCCCCGCAAGACGGCAUCAGAACACAUGACACACAGGUUACACACAUAUCACCACAAUGAGUGAAUGAAAGAAAAAAGUAUUUGGAAGUGCACUGAAGUACGCGGCGCUGUAUUGUAGCACGCUGUGGGUAUGGAGCCUCUCUCGUCGGCACCUCACCUGAGGAACUUGGCGGCCCGUUCGACCACCUCCAGCCACACGGAGGAGACUGUGCCCUCGUCGAACAGUGUGGCCUCGGGCAGGGCCCGCAACGCGUCCAGAGACUCCUGGAGCAGCUCGCUGCACAGGUCUGCAUCGUCCCCUACACCACCACAAUCAGGGGUUAAAGAAAGCCUGGACUGGGGUUUCAUAGAGGGGCACUUUGGUGCUUUAGAUCAGAAACAGUCUGUGUUCAUAUAGCACAAUCCGACCGGCAUGGCCCUUCAUAGCGACUCAAGGUCAUAGUGAUUAACAGUAAAUGCCUCACAUUCAAACACCAAAACACAUUCACAGACACUUUCCGCAUUCAUACACUGGCUCUCACACACGCAGGCAGUUUUUCAGCUGUUAAACACUUUUUUUUUUUUGGGGGGGGUUGAAUGACUUGUUCAAGGGCACUGCAGCCCUUUGUGCAAAGAGAAGCAUGGAUAUUCAACCGGCAACCUCCUUUGUUGGCCUAAGAAGAGCUCUAGCCCUGAUUAUAGAACAUAUCAUAAGUUCAAGCUCGGAGAUAAGCAAAGCUCCUAGGAACCGAACAACUGAAAACUGUCAAAAUACUUCAAUAUAUUUAAACAGUACUAUCUAAAUUAGGGGUGAAAAAAAUACUAAAUCUGGUUAUUUUUUACCUACUUUCAUAGUGUGUUGUAAUGCAAACUGCAUUGAUUAUUGCAUUGUUCAUAGAAAGUCAUAUUUGUGACAAAAGCUUUUUCUCUAAUAAAAUAUUAGAUAAGCUAAUUCAUCUCUUGAUUUCUUUAAUGAUCAUCAGUAGGAAGUGAUUAGCAAACUCUGAGGAGCAAACUCAGAUGUAUAGAUAUAUCUUUGAAAAUCACACAUGGAAAUGUUCAUAAAAAAUGCAUCGAUAAUCGGUUUAGAACGAAUCGUUGACCUCUGAAUCGGAAUCGAAUCCUGAGGUGCCAAGAGAUUCCCACCCCUUAUC
ensembl:lncRNA